GGGAAUAAUUCUUGGGAAUGCGGUCCCUAAAAAUAAGGAGAAAGGAUAUUUUUUCUAACCAAUUUUCUACUGAUGUCCCUUUUUAUAAGAUAUUAUCCUAUUUUCAGCAUUUUUUAAAACUGAAAAUGGACAGUUGUCCAAUACUAUAAGCUUCUUUUGGUUUUCAAACUUCUAAAAAUAACCCUUCUUACCCCAGAUUUUGACUCAAAUUCCUUGUUUUAUUACCCUAAGUUUUAAGUUCCCUUAAACCCACCUCAAGUUUCAAUUAAGACAUAAAAAAAAAACACAAACACACUGAUGUGAACAAACAUUAACCAACCAAAUUAUUUAACAAGUUAAUUGAUAACUUAUGCAACUAAAAACACUAACUGAAUCCGGCCAGAACAGAAAACCAAAUGAAAAUGAUAAUCAAAAAGAUAUUAAUCUUAAAUCAUACAAUUAACUUAAAUAUUGAACUAUGCCUAACUAAUUAUUCAAAAGAAAAAAACAGAAAAAGAAACAAGAAAAAGGAAAAAGGUAAGUAUACUAAUUUGACAGUAAGUGAGUCAACGAUUGAUGCGAAUCAACGAGCGAUGAUGGCGACGAAGCUUGGCCGGUCAGUGGUGACUUGGCCAGAAUCCAACGGGUUUAGAAAUGAACGAAAUUAACAUGAAUUGAUUGCUUGUAUCAAGAGCAAUCGACUCAUGUAAGUUUGAGUCAAAACAUGCUUGAAAUUUUCAGAAAAAAUCAUAUUUAGGUUUAUGAUUUUCUUAGAUUUGAAAUUGACCGAAUUUGGUGGGUAUUUUGGAGAAGAUGAUGAUGUAUUAGGGUUGAGGGGAAGAUGGGGAGUGUAUGGUGUAAUUUUGGGAUGGUUUGGAGUGGCACCGCCGCCGUGGGCGAUUUUCGGCGACGGUGGGCGGCUACGGCUUCUCUGAGUUAAGAGAGACAGAGAAUGAGAGAGUCUUGGGGAGGGGGGGAG
rnacentral:lncRNA from 1 species